GCUAGCGGCAGGCUUAACACAUGCAAGUCGAACGGUAAGGAUCACUUCGGUGAUUGCACGAGUGGCGCACGGGUGCGUAACGCGUAUGCAACCUACCUUUAACAGGAGGAUAGCUCCGAGAAAUUGGGAUUAAUACUCCAUAAUAUUAUUUUAUUGCAUGAUAAAAUAAUUAAAGCUACGGCGGUUAAAGAUGGGCAUGCGUGACAUUAGCUGGUUGGUAAGGUAACGGCUUACCAAAGCGACGAUGUCUAGGGGGUCUGAGAGGAUGAUCCCCCACACUGGUACUGAGACACGGACCAGACUCCUACGGGAGGCAGCAGUGAGGAAUAUUGGUCAAUGGACGCAAGUCUGAACCAGCCAUGCCGCGUGCAGGAUUGACGGCCCUGUGGGUUGUAAACUGCUUUUAUUUGGGAAGAAAGGUCGCUACGAGUAGUGAUUUGACGGUACCAUUUGAAUAAGCACCGGCUAACUCCGUGCCAGCAGCCGCGGUAAUACGGAGGGUGCAAGCGUUAUCCGGAUUCAUUGGGUUUAAAGGGUGCGUAGGCUGAUAGAUAAGUCAGUGGUGAAAUCUUGCGGCUUAACCGUAAAACUGCCAUUGAUACUGUUUAUCUAGAGUACAUAUGAGGUAGGCGGAAUAUAGUAUGUAGCGGUGAAAUGCAUAGAUAUACUAUAGAACACCGAUUGCGAAGGCAGCUUACUAAAUUGUUACUGACGCUGAGGCACGAAAGCGUGGGGAGCGAACAGGAUUAGAUACCCUGGUAGUCCACGCAGUAAACGAUGAUUACUCGAUGUUGGCGAUACACUGUCAGCGUCUGCGCGAAAGCAUUAAGUAAUCCACCUGGGGAGUACGAUCGCAAGGUUGAAACUCAAAGGAAUUGACGGGGGCCCGCACAAGCGGAGGAGCAUGUGGUUUAAUUCGAUGAUACGCGAGGAACCUUACCUGGGCUUAAAUGUAGUGUGCAUUAGCGAUGAAAAUCCUAUUUCCUUCGGGACCCACUACAAGGUGCUGCAUGGUUGUCGUCAGCUC
rnacentral:rRNA from 1 species